CCCAGACUCCUACGGGAGGCAGCAGUGGGGAAUAUUGGGUAAUGGGCGCAAGCCUGACCCAGCAACGCCGCGUGAAGGAAGAAGGCUUUCGGGUUGUAAACUUCUUUUAUGAGGGACGAAAGAAAUGACGGUACCUCAUGAAUAAGCCACGGCUAACUACGUGCCAGCAGCCGCGGUAAUACGUAGGUGGCAAGCGUUAUCCGGAUUUACUGGGUGUAAAGGGCGUGUAGGCGAGACUGCAAGUCAGAUGUGAAAUCCCGCGGCUCAACCGCGGAACUGCAUUUGAAACUGUCAGUCUUGAGUACCGGAGAGGUCAUCGGAAUUCCUUGUGUAGCGGUGAAAUGCGUAGAUAUAAGGAAGAACACCAGUGGCGAAGGCGGAUGACUGGACGGCAACUGACGGUGAGGCGCGAAAGCGUGGGGAGCAAACAGGAUUAGAUACCCAGGUACG
rnacentral:rRNA from 1 species